rnacentral:misc_RNA from 1 species
AACCAUAGAAACCUGCGGAGUACCUGCGGAGGGAUCAUUACAGAGUUGCAAAACUCCCACAAACCAUCGCGAAUCUUACCCGUACGGUUGCCUCGGCGCUGGCGGUCCGGAAGGCCCUCGGGCCCCCGGACCCUCGGGUCUCCCGCUCGCGGGAGGCUGCCCGCCGGAGUGCCGAAACCAAACUCUUGAUAUUUUAUGUCUCUCUGAGUAAACUUUUAAAUAAGUCAAAACUUUUAACAA